UAUUUCAAUAUUUAUUUUCAAAUAUUUUGUGAUAGUUAUAACUAUGGCACACUGUAUUGUGUUGAUAUUCGGCGGUGUAUAUGUAAUAGAGAAGGGAGAGCGUUGUUGUUUACAUUCCAUAGCAAGGCUACGCUCUGGAAUGUAAACAACAACGCUCAUUCACGCGGCGAUGCUCGAGCGAGCAGGCAGUAUCAUGAAUUGAUUCGUGUUGUCGGAAUAAUUUUUCGAGAAACGCGAUUAUUUUCCUUAUUAUAAUUUUUAUGUUUAUCGACUCGUGCGAUUGAUCAACUAUUGCGAUGAACGACACGUAAGAACAUCGCGGCGAUAGCAAUUUGAUUCAAGUAACGAAACAGCAAAAUACUACGUCGACUGUUUAUUAAUAAUACGUAUAUUUCACGGGAUGCAUGUGUUGCAAAUAUACUAUGUUUGCGAUAUUGAUUUUCGAUAAUAUAUUUUCUAGCAAUUUAUUGUGUUCUAACCAGGCAACUAACUUGCGUAAUAUCGCGCGAUAUCAAUGUAUAAAAUUGAUGUCAUUUUCAUGUUUUCCGGACAUUAGUAAAACGUCGCGAGUAUAAUUAUAUAUAUAAAUUAGAGUUUGCUAUCGCAAUACGUUUAUAAUCUAUACAGUAUAAUUGUUAUUAAUUCCGUAUAUAUAUUUUAAGAUUUAUCAACCGCGUAGCACGCAUAUUUGUAUAUCGUUAUCAGAGCUCGUAUCUCGUAAGUUGUACUCGAUCGAAAUUUAUCGUGCGAAACGUCGGCAGACCUAAUUAUAUUUCCUAUAUUGUAGUCCGCGAAUAUCAAUCUUUAACUUUAAUUUGUUUAUUUAUCCAUUAAUAUUGUAAUGCGGAAUAAUAAAACUUUAAGCGUGUAAACGCACGCUAUUCAUUAACAACAGAAAUAGUAUUAUCGGGACGAAUGAAUAAUUUUGCUGCAUAAUUUUCGAAUGCCAAAAGCGGAUUGCAUUUGUUUUCCCAUCGCGAUAUGAUAAAAUACGCGACAUGGUAUGCGAUUAACGUUAAGAAUGCCGUGCGAUCGUUGUAUUUUGUUGAUUAGUGCGCGCGCGUAAUUAACAGUGUUUUCGCGAGUGAGUUCUACGAAGAAGCAAUGAAGGAUGAAUAAGAAAGGAAGAAAAGGUCUGGAGAUGCGUCGGACAACUGCGGAAGAGCCGUAGGAUCAACGUAGCUGACAAUCUUGACAACGUAAGGGGAGGUGGAAGCUUAGAAGAGACAUCCUGCACCGGCAAAGCAAUCCUAGGACAACGUAGCUUCAGUAUCAACAACUCCGCUGUUGCGCAUCAGUGUCGGUGAGUGACAAAUUUUAUUUAAUUUAAGAUAACGGAUUUUUAUAUGUACAAAGAUUUAAGAUUUAGAUCCAGAUUGUAGGUUGUAGUUAGAUCUGUUACCUUAAAAUAGAUGAGAUAGAAAAAAUUAGGAAUUACUUGUA